CUUGGUCAUUUAGAGGAAGUAAAAGUCGUAACAAGGUCUCCGUAGGUGAACCUGCGGAGGGAUCAUUACAGAGUUCCUGCCCUCACGGGUAGAUCUCCCACCCUUGUGUAUUUUUAUGAUGUUUUGUUGCUUUGGCAGGCCGCUGGGCUUCUAAAACGGCCUGGCCACCGGCUCCCUGGGCUGGUGCGCGCCUGCCAGAGGAUCUCUCAAACUCGGUUUGUUAGUGUCGUCUGAGUACUAUAACAAUCGUUAAAACUUUCAACAACGGAUCUCUUGGUUCUGGCAUCGAUGAAGAACGCAGCGAAAUGCGAUAAGUAAUGUGAAUUGCAGAAUUCAGUGAAUCAUCGAAUCUUUGAACGCACAUUGCGCCCCUUGGUAUUCCGAGGGGCAUGCCUGUUCGAGCGUCAUUUCAACCCCUCAAGCUCUGCUUGGUGUUGGGCAUUCGCCGCUUUCCCGCGGCGGGCCUUAAAAUCAGUGGCGGUGGCCGUCUCAGGCUCUAAGCGUAGUAGCAACCUCUCGCUCUGGAGACCCGGCGGUGACUUGCCAGACAACCUUUUUACUUUUUUUCAAAGGUUUGACCUCGGAUCAGGUAGGGAUACCCGCUGAACUUAAGCAUAUCAAUAAGCGGAGGA
rnacentral:rRNA from 1 species